CCCAACUGAUAGCCAGGGCGGUGCUGGAGGAACUGACCAGGCUGGUUCCAGCGGUUCUAGAGUCCUGGCUGAGUGCCAGGGUGGCGCUGGAGGAACAGACCAGGCGGGUCUCAACGGUUCAGGUAGCCUGGGCGGCGGCGGCAGGGCAGACGGCCUGGGCGGCGGCGGCAGGGCCGACCAAGGGUGCUCCGUGGCCUUAUCGGGGAGAGCGGGCAGCUCUGGGACGGCAGCGGGCUCGGGCUGCUCUGGGGGCGGCGGCAGGGCAAGGCGCUCAGGAAACCAGAGAACAACCGCUGGAGCGGACUCACUGGCUGGAGCGGCCUCUGGAGCGGACUCACGGGCUGGAGCGGCCUCUGGCUGAGCAGGUGUUGCCCAAUGGAUUCUACAGGAGAGAUAUCUAACAAAGUCCCAAAAAUCCAGGUUUUGAAGCCCUUCCAUCUCCUAUUGAGGCAGUGGGUCCCUUAGGGACACGCUCCCUGCUCGUGGCUGGCCGACGAACCCUGAAGCUCAUGAUGCUGGAUCUGUUAGUGGUGGUUCGUUCUGUCCCGGUACUCACGAAGACGAAGACAAGAUCCAAUAGCAGCAAUUUAUUAGGGUAAUCCAGAAACGUAAUCCAAACAGGCAAGGGUCAAAAUCCAUAAAGACAGUCCAUACAAACAGGCACGAGAAUAACACAAAGAAAACCAAACCAGAAAACCAGAAAACCAGAGAACCAGAGGUACACAUAACAUUAAACAACGAACCACAACCAAAGACAGAAACAACUCAGUAUAAAUAGACAGACACUAAUAACAUAAUACAAUCCAGCUGGGUGCAAUGAAGUGAUGACGAGUCCAGGCAGUGUGUUAUGGGAUAUGUAGUGUAUGUAACGGGUGGAAAUAAGAGUCCGGGAUGGAGUGCCCUCUAGUGGCUGAUAGGGCACUCUCACUGGUGAUCAUGACAAUCCAAUCUGGUUAAGUGUUUAAUGAUAAUUAAGGGUUUUGUACAAGAUACAUGUCUGCCAUGACACUGACCAAUCAGAGAUGACUUCAUUCAUGUACAAUCAUUUAUCAUUGAUUUGUUUUAUGUGGUGGUCAAAAACAUGGUCUAAUCUGUCAUGUGGCUUGAAUUUGAAGCCAUUAAAAGCGUACGGCGUCCCAUUUAUUUUGAACAUUGUCAGGGAUCUUUUUUCCUGUAUUUUUUACAGUGUUUCUAUAAAAUCAUGUAUAUUCCUAAAUUCAUCAUUGACCAUAUUUGUAAUAUUAUAUAUUUAUUGUUGUGAUAUUUUGUGAUGUGUGUCCUUCUGUCUCUCCUGUAGAUCUCUGAUCCCAAUGAAGACACAUAUACAGCUCUUGAGCUCAAGUCCACGACCUCUGACCUGUACGACACACUCACAACGGUUCAUCCCAGAGCUCCUGAAGACUCCUGCAGGACUCUUGAUCCUCAGAGCUUUUCUAAACAUGAGAAUCCAUCAAUGCAGGAAGAUGCUGCAGUAAGAGGCGGAGCAUGAAGGAACCAUUCCUGCGCUCUGUGGGCGGAGCCAUAUAUGAUUGACAGGGAUCAUCAGUGAUGAGUCAUUAGUUUUAUUUCUGUAUAAUUAAAAAAAAAAAAACAUGAUGUAACAGGGGAAUUAAAUGCAAGUAAAAAGCUGGUGAAUUGUCUGUGUGAAAAAAUGUAUAAACAUAAAUGCUAAAAUUAAGGAGCCGUUUAUAUGACACGACUAAAAACUGAAAACUUUUUAUGAGAUUUGGCCGGUCAUUUACACAACAGUGACGUUUUAGGGUACUGAAAAUGCAAACUUUUGAAAACGGGUUUCAAAGUGCAAGUUUUUGAAAACUAUAUUUUUAUCAUCUCCGUGUAAACUACAAAAAACAUGAAUUUGUUAAAAAUGUGACGUCAUGCAUGUGUGUUACAUGUUCAGUCUAAAGGAGCGUAAUGUUUCUUUACAAAGUGACAUCGCCAACUACUGGCCAGGCAUGAGUAAUACACUGUUUUUAACAAAAGAAAAGUACAUCGUUGUCGUGUAAACGUACCCUGAGUCAGAGUGAUGUUCAGUGGUGGAUACUAGAUGUCUUCAUGGGUCGACUUGAAAUUAUUAACAUAAAUAUUAAUUUCCUUGUCAUUUGAGGAGAAACAUAACACUUAUGAGCGGUUUAUCUACUUGGAAGUAAUCGCCAGAUCGAUUACAGAAUAAACCAUCUAAAUGCUGAUCAACUAAUUCAAAUUGACAAAAAUUAAACCACAACUGUAUAUUUUCAUGUUUUUCCUCAAAACAAUUUGUUGAAACCCACAAAAAUCAUAUUAGCCUACAUCUUAUACAAAGUCUGCUAUAGGCUACAGUAUCUGGGUUAAAAUCGUAGAUAAUGUAAAUGUUACGAAGAAGAAUCUGAAAAGGAAUUUCAUCUACAAACACUUGCUUUUAAAUCAUAAUCGAUCAUUUUACCCUGAAACACUGAACAAAAUCAUAAUUGUGCACACUGACAAACGACAAUGUUUCAUUGAUGGUCUCAAAGUGCUCAAUCAGCUUCUGUUAUUCUGUCUUUUGUGUUUCUGUAACUUGAUCAGUUUGUUUUUCUCAUUUGUUCAAACCCUCAAACUACCACCAGAGGUCACCAUUUCCUGCUCCUGCUAGCCUCACCUGUAAAUCACAAUCAUUCAUCUUAUCUUGUACUGUGUUCAAACUCCUUCAUAUGUUCGUAUUAUAAUUCUGAACCCAUCUAUUCCUGUGUCUCUAGUUUCUUCAGUCAGUUCGCUUUAAUAGCGGCUCUUUACACCAUUUUUGAAUGUUUCAUCUUGUAUUUCUCGCUUCAGGCCACAUUACUAAUGGUGUUCUGAAAUAUUCGGUGUCUGAGAUUUUCGGUGACAUAAUGAACAGAAAUAAAUCGUAUAAGCCUAUCUUGACAGCGCUAUAGCUAGCCUAUAUAAAAUAUUUUAGGCUAGGCUAAAAACGAGAGCUAAAAUCUAACAAUUUUUUUAAAUGAUGCUCAGUUUUUUUAUAUAUUUUCGCUUGGUAGUAUUUUUAUCUUUCAUAUAGGCCUAUUGACGUGAAGGAUCUUGGCAAGCCUGCCCUGUCCCACUGAAAAUGAACUGGGAUCUCGUGGUUCUGUAGUCUACCAAGUAAAAUGCACCCCCUGACCAAGGCCAUAAUGUAUAUUAAUAAAAUAAAGUAAUAACGAACAGAUAAAUACAAACAAGCUGUGCCAAAUCAGCUAAGCCACCGGGAUUGAGAUAAUAUAAACGGAGGUCGGAGCCAGCUGCAAGUGGGCAGUACAAAGUAAUAGAAGAUUUUAAUUGGUUUGUUUAAUGUAAUGUAAUAUCGUUCACGCUCCUAGUGGCGGUAGCGCGCGCACACACACACACACACACACAAUCGCAUGCACACAUUGUUUUUGUGAUUUGUUGGCACAUUCCAUAGACGUAAUGGUUUUUAUACUGCACAAAACGUAUUUUCUAUUGCCCUACACCAACCCCUACACCUAAACCUAACCCUUACAGGAAACUGUGCACAUUCUUAAUUAAAAACACCAACCCCUACACCUAAACCUAACCCUUACAGGAAAUUUUUAAUUAAAAAAAAAAAAAUCCUUCUGUAUGAUUUAUAAGCCUUUUGAAAAAAUAGUGUAAAAACGUGAGUCAGUGUUGACAAUGAAUGGUAUUUGGAUACAAACAAUAAUUACAAAAAUGUAAGAAUUUCAAACUAUGAAAAUGCGUUAUAUAUACAUUUUUUAAGAUACUAUGAACUCCAGCCUACUUGCGGCAUAAGCUCCACCCACUUGCUGUUGUUGGCGUAAGCUCCUCCCACUUGCGGGUCUCCGGGCUGCAGCGAUAUCUACUUGGACCCCCGCGCUAAUGGUACAGCGGCGCAAAUUACAAAACAGAAAAAUUGGAAAAAUAGAAAUUCGGUUAGUUUCAUUUAUUCAAAUGAUUGUUUCUUAAGUCAUCAUUUUGCAAAAGUGAAAUUGAGAAAAGGGGGAAAAAAUGGCAAAUAUCCAUUUAUGAUGUAACCGAAAAACAAGAAAAAUGAACGUCUGGUUUCAGUUUUUCAUUUUUGCAUUUGCAUUGUAUGGUCUGAAAACUGAAUUGUGAAGCGUUACAUGGACCUUUUGAGCCCGUAAGUCACACUUGGGUAAAAUUGGUUUUAUAUUUGCACAUUCGGACUUCUGAUGAAUUCAGACUUUCCAAUAAAUGUGCAAUAAAUUAAUGUUUGCGAAUUUUAAGCAGCGACAUGAUAUUGACAACCAACGAUUGUCAACUUACAACAUUUUUCACAGUCGAU